AAUCUUUAUUCAUCACAGAAAGAAUCCCUAAAGCUAACCACAAAAUUUAACAUCCGCUGACACAUCUCCAUCGAACUACGGGACCAUGGUACGCAAACAGCGAUCGUGACUCGCAUGUGAUGUACAUCCGCCGGAAGUGCGUGACUGUGACACGCACGCGGUGCGUACUUCCGCCGGAACCGUAAGUGCGGUGCGUUGACACGCACGUGAGAGUGGAACGCAUGUAGCGUUCAGAUUUUGUCCCCCCUUAUUUUUUAUAAUGUCAGGAAGCAGAAUUGAUGUUAGUUAACCAGUAAGAAUGGCAUUCCACAUAGUACCAUGAGGUCUUAACACAUUACUAACUAAUAAUAAAUUAAUUAAUCAGCCAGCAGGAAGUGAUGUAAUAUCAAGGGAGCUAUAAAGGGAUGCCCCUAUAUUGCCUCUCAUUCUGUAGUUGGUAUUCAAUGAGGUUGCACUUGUUCCUGUAAAAAGGAAUAGUUUCGUUCAGGAUUUGAAAUUUUCCUAAGUUCUCUGUUUGGUGACAUGUAUAAACAGAGGUAGACUAUAAGGUUCCACCAUUCUUGAUUGAAAAUAGGGAAUAGUAUCAUUCAGGAUUUGAAAUUUUUCCUAAGUCCUCUUUUUGGUGACAUGUAUAAACAGAGGUAGACUAUAAGGUUCCACCAUUCUUGAUUGAAAAUAGGUAAAAACCAGACUAAUUUAGUGCAAUCAUUGAAUACCAUAUGAGGUUAAGUAUUUCAGAUGUUAAAAAGUUCUUCUUGCUGGUUAUUAAUUACAGCUGUGAACUUAAUUGGCUCUCUAAUGAUUGAUUGAAUAUACCACUCCCCAUUGCAUGUUAGAUUAAAGACAUCAUUUAGGGGAUCUGUUAGGUAACCAGUAAGAAUGGCAUUCCACAUAGUACUAUGAGGUCCUAACACAUCACUAACUAAUAAUAAAUCAAUUAAUCAGCCAGCAGGAAGUGAUGUAAUAUCAAGGGAGCUAUAAAGGGAUGUCCUUAUAUUGCCUCUCAUUCUGUAGUUGGGAUUCAGUGAGGUUGCACUUGUUCCUGUAAAAAGUAAGUUUGAGUAUUAUAAUUGUAUAUUUGGAACUUAGUUAUUGGAUGGUCUUUUUGAAAAUUUAUUAGAUGA